GCAUCGGUGGUUCAGUGGUAGAAUUCUCGCCUGCCACGCGGGAGGCCCGGGUUCAAUUCCCGGGCGAUGCA
rnacentral:tRNA from 1 species